CUUGGCGGGAGUUUUUGCGUUGGCGGCAGGCGCAGCGGGCUGGAAUGGAUCGUCACCGGCCUGCGCGGCUGUCGCAUGCGAGAUUUUCGAAGAACCAUGCAGGAAGAACACAUUCCAUGAAAGAUAAAGCGGGCCAGAUGCACAAGCCUCUGGAUGUCUUUGAUUUUCCUGAUGAUUCUCAGUUCUCAAGCCUCAGCAGGCUGGGCGAAAAUGAGAAAGAUGAAGACUCCUAUGAAACCUUUGGUUAGUGUUUUCAAUCUAUAUU